GGAAGCCGGACCGCGGAGCGCAGCGGGGGGGGGGGGGGGGUGCGUGCGUUGCGUUGGCAUGGCGGAGGCGCGGCCCGGCGCAGGUGCAUUGAAUUUCCAUCCUGAUGCUGCUGAUUCCAUUCCAGGAGAAAGACAACCUACAGAUAUAAACUGGGUAAAUAAAGAUAGGAAAGACUCUAACAGUAAUCAGAAUAGAAGUAAUUUACCAUUUCCUAGUCUGUCUUCUGAAAGAGGUACAGAUUAUGAAAGCUCUUCCACAAAGCAUCAUGGCUUUUCUAACCCAGAAAGUCAGUAUGGGAAUUCCGAAGACUUCCACCAAUAUUUUGGUACCGGUAAAAGUUUGAAGAAUCGCAACUUGCAAAGCCAGAGAUGGCACAGAUCAAGAAACGAUAGCACGUGUACUAGAAGUAAGAUAAGGCAAAGUACUGUGGAUACUGCUGCCGGUCCAGGAAUUUCUGAUGCUGCAGUAAUACCUGGGAGAAGAGCACCUCCUAGGGGAUACAAUGACUUUCUCUCCUCAGAGAGUGACAGGGAGGUACCUAAUGCAGAUAGCAGAGGAGCAAAGCCAAAGAAGACACAUCUGAUGCAUGCAUCUGGAAGGGGUUUCAGGGAGAAGGGAAAGCAAGUACAUGACCGGGAAAAGAGAGUGAGCUCUAAACAGAAAGUAGAGCUGUUUGAAAAUGUUCCGUCUUUGGAUAUGACUCAGUCUGACUCUUCAGAAUCAUCUGUUGGAAAGGCAUUCUGUGAUGCACCUGUCGGUAGUGGGGAUGAGCAGAAAGGCUACAAUUACGUAAACAAAAGAUAUCCCCGGAAGCCUGUGUGGAAUAAACCCCCAGUAGAAAAGGAGUGUCAGAAAAGACAUGAUUCUCACCGUAGUAAAAAUACUAAAGUAGGUAAGAAGUCUUCUCUUGCAUAUACGCCAAAAGAUAAAAAUGAGAGGAAGAAAGAGCUCUCUGUUCACAAGAAUGAUGAGAACAUGACCAGUGAAAUCAGGCAUCAGUUGUCCGAUUCUGUCAGGUGUAAUGGAAGGAAGUUCCUUCUGAAGGGGGAUCAGGCACCUGCACUUCAUUUCAGCUGGACCCAGUACUGGAAAAAGCAAAGUGAUGUACCAAAAAACAAAGAAACUCACACAGGGUCGUUGAUUGAACAGCUGACCACAGAGAAGUAUGAGUGCAUGGUAUGUUGUGAGGUAGUCCGAAUAGUAGCCCCGGUGUGGAGCUGUCAGAAUUGUUACCAUGUAUUCCACCUGAAUUGCAUUAAGAAGUGGGCACGAUCACCAGCUUCACAAGCUGAAGAUGGUAAUAGUGGUUGGAGAUGUCCAGCUUGUCAGAAUGCUUCUACGCAAGUUCCUAAAACUUACACUUGUUUCUGUGGUAAGGUGCACAAUCCUGAAUGGAAUAGAAAUGAAAUCCCACAUAGCUGUGGGGAGCUUUGUGGAAAGAAGAGGCAGUGUUUGGACUGUCCACAUCUUUGUAACAUCCUGUGCCAUCCAGGACCUUGCCCUUCAUGCCCAGCCUUUGUGACAAAAACAUGUGAAUGUGGACAAACAAGUCAUUCAGUUCGCUGUGGCCAAUCAACAAAAAUUCAUUGUUCUAAUGUAUGUGGAAAUACUUUAAACUGUGGUAAGCACAGCUGUACUCAAGUGUGCCAUGCAGGAAAAUGUUCACCUUGCCAAUUAACAGUACAGCAAGUGUGUUACUGUGGAAGCAACUUUAAAGAAGUGUUGUGUGGGACAAAGGAAGAAUUCUCUGAUGGAUUUGGGAAUUUCUCAUGUCAGAAUAUAUGUGGCAAAAAAUUAAAUUGUGGGAGGCACAACUGCACACAAGUAUGCCAUCCUCAGCCUUGCCAGCUCUGUCCACGACUUCCUCAAGUAGUGUAUCGCUGUCCCUGUGGUCAGACUCCUCUCAGCAAGUUACUGGAACUAGGAUGUGUUGAACGUAAAAUAUGCACAGACCCUAUCCCGUCAUGUGGAAAAACAUGUGGCAAACCUCUCUCUUGUGGUAGCUAUGAGUUCGUUCAUACAUGUGAAAGCCUUUGCCAUGAAGGAGAGUGUAGACCAUGUUCUCACACAUCAAAUAUUUAUUGUAGGUGUGGCUUCAAAAAAAAGGAAGUCCCAUGUGCUCUCCUCAGAAAUAAAGCUGCUAUUACAUUCAUGUGUGACAAGCGAUGCAACAAGAAAAGAUCAUGUGGACGACACAAGUGUAAUGAAGUUUGCUGUGUGGACACAGAACAUAAGUGUUCUUUGGUUUGUGGUCGUAAACUCAACUGUGGGCUUCAUAGAUGUGAAGAACCCUGUCAUCGGGGCAGUUGUCAAACAUGCUGGCAAACAAGUUUUGACGAGUUAACUUGUUAUUGUGGUGAAUCCGUGAUUUACCCCCCUGUCCCCUGUGGCACUCAACCACCAGAGUGUAAGAAAACAUGCACCAGGCCACAUGACUGUGAUCAUCCAGUGUACCACUCAUGUCAUAGUGAGGAGAAAUGUCCACCCUGUACCUAUCUCACUCAGAAAUGGUGUAUGGGCAAGCACGAACUGCGAAGUAAUAUUCCUUGUCAUCUCACUGACAUUUCCUGCGGACUUCGCUGCAAUCAAAUGUUAAAAUGUGGGAUGCACAAAUGUAAAAGAAUCUGUCAUAAAGGAGAAUGUCUUAUAGAUGAAGAGUGUAAACAGCCAUGUACUAUUCCAAGGCUAUAUUGUAAUCAUCCCUGUAUGGCUCCAUGUCAUCCUUCUUCACCCUGCCCGACAACAUCCUGCUGUGCAAAGGUUGAUCUUCAAUGUGAAUGUGGAAGAAGAAAGGAGAGUAUGAUUUGCUCAGAAGCAUCUAAUACAUAUCAGAGAAUAGCUGCUAUAUCUAUAGCCACUAAGUUAACAGAUCUACAGCUUGGGGAUUCAGUGGAAAUCAGUAGGCUUAUUACGAAAAAAGAAAUGAAGCAGGCCAGGUUGCAAUGUGAUGAAGAAUGCUUAGCUCUUCAGAGGAACAGGCGUCUUGCUGAGGCUCUUGAAAUAGAUGAUAAUUCGGAUCCUUUUAACAUCCGUUCUUCUGGACCAAAGUACAGUGACCUUUUAAAAGAAGAUGCGAGGAAGGAUUUAAAAUUUGUCAGUGACAUUGAGAAGGAAAUGAGAAUGCUCGUGGAAGCUGUGAAUAAGGGCAAGCAUACAAAGAAGAGCCAUUGUUACCCACCAAUGAACAGAGAUCAUCGCAGAAUCAUCCAUGAAUUAGCUCAGGUUUAUGGCAUUGAAAGUGUGAGCUAUGACAACGAACCAAAGCGUAAUGUUGUUAUCACUGCAGUGAAGUACAGGGAAAUCCAUUUGUCCAAGCAAUACCUUAACUUCUGUGCUAGAUAAGGAAAUGCAGAGCAGGCCUCCACCUCCUAUUCCUCAUUACAAACAAACAGAUAAGAGUAGUGGAAACAGUGGUUUAUCCAAACCAUUAAAAGAAGAGCCAGUAAUUGACUACUUUGAUGUCCAGGACUGAAGUGAUUGAUGUAGAAUUACGAUAUAGAAGCUUAGAGGUGAAGAUACUAAGUUAUUGUGUGAGGCACUUUUUGGGUAUCUGUCAAAUGAUCAGUUGUUCAGCAUAUUCAUGAUUUAACAUCUAAAGUUAGAUUGAUUAUGAUACUUUAAAAAGUUAUGCAUUUUUACAGUUUACGUAACUGCAUAAUACCUAACAGUAGUAUAGCUUUUUAAACCUGGGUUUGGUGCAAUUUUUUAUCUAAUGUGCUGUCAGAAUGAUGUAGAUUUUCCAUUGAUGCCUUUAAAGUGAGAGAACUGGUAAUCAAAUAUAUUUUUGGGGGUAGUAAGAACAACGAUAAAUCUCAAAGAUUUAUUUUGACAUAUCUCAACUUAAAAUGGACCAUAAAUAAUCUGUGUUAAAAACGCUGAUGGGAAUAUUUUUAGUGUUUUCAUAUUUUAUUAAUUCACUUUUGUGUUAACAUGGUAAAUUUGGGAGUUUGAGUUACUCUUCUACAUGGAAGGAAAUACAAAAUUUAGUCAAGUAUGAAUAUAUACACUAAAUGCCCAUUAAGAGCACAGACUUCCUUUGGUAUCUGAAGAACCAGGAUUUGGGGAAGGUGGGGAAUUAAGACUUAUUUUGCUUCAUCUCAAAUCUGAUGUGUUUAAAAAAAAAAAACAAAACCCACCAAACAACCAAAAAAACCCACCAUAAAACCCACCCCCCAAAAAACAACACAAAAUUAUUAAUACUUUGUUAUUCAAGACCUUGAACAACAUCAGACUUUAUAUAUUAUUUUGGUGUUCUAUUUGGUUUAAUUUGUAUUUAGAUAUGCUAGCUUGAUGGUCUUCUGGGGUUUUUUUUGCAUGGUUUUAUUGGGGGUUUAUAAUCUUUUCUGUACUGUGCAAGCUUAAGGUGAAUGUGUGAAGUUUGGUUUACGUAUGUUAUGAAUUUGGAACAAUAUUUGUAAAACUUAUAAGACCAUCUGUCUAAACUGUUUGGCAAUGGAAGAUCUCUGUUUUAUGGGAAAUGCCAUAAACAAAAUGGGAUGAUGGUUUAAACAGUGAAAGGCACCAAAGUGGUCUCAGACGGUGAAUUAUUUCCAGAUGAUGAGUUAAGGUAGGUGAGUAGCGCUCUGGGAGAGGAGAUUGUAGGUCUGAUCAGAAGAAGUGGCACGGCUCUGAAUUUGAGUAAUAUUUGUUCGCUUCAGGAGAAGGUUUUUUGAAUUAGCGUUAGUGACUCUGACACUGACGCACGGUUUCUUGUUCCUUGUGCCUGGCUACGUGUAGCACUAGAGGUGCGUCCCCUGCACAGCAUCAGAGGCUGCUGCUGAAAGGGGCUGAGCAUAAUGAAGAAAGAGAUCUAGCAGAAGACUUGUCAUCUGUUGUUGAUUUAUUUUUUAGCCAGCUCACUACGGUGUAGUGUGAGAUUUGUUGCCAAGAAAAUGGAAGGCAGUUAUCCAUGCUUACAUUCACUUACAGUUAUCACAUGACUGUGAGCCUUACCUGUGAAGCAUUCCGUGGCUACGUUUCAUCUUGAGCAGCUUGUGAAACCUGAAAGAAUAAGUGGCAAACUCACAGACCGUGUCUGUCCCCAAAAAUGUUUUGAAAAUUAAAAUGCAUGCUGUUAAUACCUAUUUUUGUAGGAGCUUAUUAUUUCACAUCAAAAAAAAAAAAAAAAUGCAGUCUUAAAUGUUUCUAAACCUUUGAAAUGCAUAUGCUUCAGGUAAAACAGUUACCAGAAGGAUUCUCAACCCUCAGGAGCGUUCAGGCUUUUAAUUUGCAUGUAGUGGUUUAAAUUGGUUUUACCUUUUCUGUCUAAUAUUUUGUGAACAGAACUGAAAAAUAAACAUACAUAGCUUAUAUUGCCCUUAAUUUCUUAAGCAAAUCAGUGUUUGAUUCUACAAGGUGUACUGCUUUGCUAAGUUCAGCUAAGAAAUAAGUUGCUCGGCAUCUUUCCAGGAAUGUAUUUCUUCAAUCCCUUCAUUGUGAGGAGUGCAUCUAUUACAGUGCUUGCAGACAAGGGGCAGCUCAGUGUGGCCAGACAAAGGCUAAUUCUGGUUUUGAAACUCAGAGCUACGUGCAGACAGCACUGUUUUCCACUGUUUUCUCUCCCGUCAGGGAGAACGUACAUAGUUACGCUGCAAAGGUGGGUUCUCGACAGGAGCUGGCACACACGUCUGGUGAGCUGAGAGUAUAAAGUUAGAUGCACAUACACUGGAGCACGUGCAGUUGUUAUACUGUAGGCAGGCCUAACGUUACAGGUAAUAAAUAGAAUAAAGCUGAAGCCUACUAACUUUUCACGCAGUUUCACAUGAAUAUAGCUAAAACUUCACAUUUGCACCUCUGAUUUGAAAUUUAAAACGUAAAAGGUUAAUAGCAUUAUAUUUAGCUUUGCUCUUCGGAAAUUUUAUCAGAUUAUGGCUUUAACAUAAAAAUGUGAACGUUGGUGAGAUGCACUUCAGCAGUCAAGUAUUCUGCCACUGCUUUUAAUACAAAAGCCCAGGUAAUCUUCAGCUUCUCAAGAUGAGACUAAUAAUUAUUACUGAAGCUGUCCAUACUGAGAAGUCAUAAUUCUCAUAACUAAACCUCUUAACUACAUGAAUAUCAAAACAUUUUUAUAGAUCUGUACUUUAUACAUCUCUAAAUCAUGGCUCUUGGAGCAUAUCUGUAGUUACAAAGCAAGUCACGUGUACAGAAACAUUUAUUUUGAAAUACAUUUUAAUAACUUGGUUAAAAACAUGAUACCAUACGUUUACCCGGGAAAGUAAUACCAAAAAGAAAGUAUUGAUGUCUUUCUUCCCAGAACACAGUUACAUAGCCUUAAGAAGGAACUCAGCAAAGUUUAACAGUGGUGCUCUCCUCUCUGUUCUGGUUUGCUUUUGCUGCAAUGUAUCUGUGACUUUCAUAUGGAAUAGUACUAAAGGCUGUAGUUUUGAUAUCUGUGAUAACUCAUCUUCAUAUUGCACGCGUGCCUCAUGGAAAUAUUUUUCAAAUAGCUAUUUUGUAAAUCUGAGCUGGCCUUUACACCUUUUAUCUAAUAAUAGAAAAAUGAGUGGAUAAAAAAAAUCUUUGCAUCAGUGAAGUCAGUGGCAAAAAUCCUUUUGACAUCACUGGAACCAAGACUUAAGCUUUGACAUGCUAGUCAUUUUCCACAGCCCUAAGAAUAAUAUUGUUUCUUGUAAAUUUAUUUGAAAAAAGUACUCUGCAAUAAGCAUCUUCAGAAAUAAAUUAUGUGAUGUCAGUUGGAAUUCAUGCAACUUCAUGAAGUGCUUUUAAAAUUGUGUAUGAACUAGGCAGAUACUUUGGCAUUUGGGCUGUGCUAUUGCCUAUCUAUAUUGUUUAAUAUGUUUGAAGUGCUCUGAAUAUUCAGUGCUUGGGUUUAACCUAAAGUUGUGUAAGAUGCGUAAGUAGACUUCAAUACCACUGUUUUUGUGGCAGUUUUGUACAGUAUCUGCCGCAUAAUGAAAUGAGCAAAGUAAAAUUGUUCUAAAACACUUAAGAAUAAGUUAUUUGUUGAAAGUUUUAUAUUUUACUUGAUUUUUUUCAAGUUACUGGUAUAAAAUUACUUUCUUUAUAAAGCUGAAAUAAAUCUAAGUUGAAAGUUCAGUGCUUUGGAAUUGUUUGCAAGCUUUGUCUUGGUAUUCCAAAGUUGGAAGACUGACAUAUCACAGAGAAACAAUAUAGAUUUACAUGGAAGUUUGGGGAGUCCUUUUCCUCAAAUUUUGAAAUAUGAGGUGUGAUUUCCUGGAUUUGAAGUGAUUUUAAAUGAAUGCUGUAAGGAGAGUGAAACAAGCACAGAGGGACUCCCCAGGAAAUGGAGGGUACGGAUUAUCUGCUACCUUUCUGGGAUUCAGAAGUACAGGAGAAAUGAUGAUCUGAAUAGAAAUGUACGUUUUGGUUAUCUGAAAAACCCUUCACUAUGUCAGCCUAAAUGCUACUUGGCAAUAAAAUGUAUGAUUUUA